CUUUGUCACAUGCUGCUCAGAGCUCAACCAGUCCCGGCUGUGGCCGAUGAUACCAGGGCUGGGCUACGCCACUAACCUGGUGAGAUACGGCAGGAGGAACCCCAGCAGGUGAAAAGGGCACUUUAGUCAGCAUGAUGUUGAGUGCUGGUUGAGCAACACGCCGGGAAGGAGAGGAGCCAGCAUCACUUCUGAUGACACACGAUACUCCCAACAACACUGUUACUAGCAAGUGAUCCUAGACAGCAUCAUUUACAAGCCUCAUCCAACUCAGAAGUUUCUUGUGCCACAUGCUGUCCUGCUGAGAAUCAAGCAAGUCUUCCAGUCCAGCUAAGAAGGUUACAUAGGCAGAGGUGGCUACAUGCUCCAGCUCAAAGACGUCACACAGAAGUCGGCACAGUGCUCCCCUUCACACGGCAGUGAGUUCUUGGAGGUGGGUGAGGUGGAUGUGAGGUGGGUGAUGAUGUAGUAUUGCUCCUAAUUUACUUCGCAGGCUUCUUCUCCACUUCCACCCUAUGUCUCUCAGUUUCUAAGCCCAAGUUUUGUAAGUGUGCAGAUUUUCUCUGUUCCUAUUACAUUUCGAUUUGCAUGCAAACCACUGCACACAGAACCAUUACAAACUAUUUACAUACAUAAUACAUGAAAUUCCUCCACUGCGUCUUCAUGACCUUGAUUGCUACCUGUCCUGUUUCUCUUACACAAUUUGAAUUGGUAAGCCAUAUUUUUCAUGCUCCAAAUAUUUUGCCUUGCCUAAUCCUUAGGUAUUAUUUUUUCAUUAAGGCAUUUGGAGUCCCAGCCUGUAAUUGACAUGUGCUUUUGAGACGAAUUUACUCAAGGCAAAAUGGAAAAUUCUGAUUUGCAGAUCAAGUAAUAUUUCACCUGUAGCACCAGGCACAUCAAAUUAAAUACGGGAGAGACAUUUCUUUUCCAGGCUGUGUUCCAAAACUCGUUGCACGCCCUGCUCCAAUUGGGAAUUCUGUGCCAGGGAGCAAGCAAAACCUAGACAGUUAUUCUCUUGAAACAGGAUUGUUUAUAUUAAGAAUAAAUGAACGUACAUCCGAGAUGAGCA
ensembl:lncRNA